rnacentral:rRNA from 1 species
GACGAACGCUGGCGGCGUGCUUAACACAUGCAAGUCGAACGGAAAGGCCCUGCUUUUGUGGGGUGCUCGAGUGGCGAACGGGUGAGUAACACGUGAGUAACCUGCCCUUGACUUUGGGAUAACUUCAGGAAACUGGGGCUAAUACCGGAUAGGAGCUCCUGCUGCAUGGUGGGGGUUGGAAAGUUUCGGCGGUUGGGGAUGGACUCGCGGCUUAUCAGCUUGUUGGUGGGGUAGUGGCUUACCAAGGCUUUGACGGGUAGCCGGCCUGAGAGGGUGACCGGCCACAUUGGGACUGAGCUACGGCCCAAACUCCUACGGGAGGCAGCAGUGGGGAAUAUUGCACAAUGGGCGGAAGCCUGAUGCAGCAACGCCGCGUGCGGGAUGACGGCCUUCGGGUUGUAAACCGCUUUCGCCUGUGACGAAGCGUGAGUGACGGUAAUGGGUAAAGAAGCACCGGCUAACUACGUG